rnacentral:rRNA from 1 species
AGAGUUUGAUCCUGGCUCAGAUUGAACGCUAGCGGCAUGCUUAACACAUGCAAGUCGAACGGCGGCACGAGGAGCUUGCUCCUUGGUGGCGAGUGGCGGACGGGUGAGUAACGCGUAGGAAUCUACCUAGUAGUGGGGGACAACCCGAGGAAACUCGGGCUAAUACCGCAUACCCUUUUCGAAGGAAAGCAGGGGAUCUUCGGACCUUGUGCUACUAGAUGAGCCUGCGUCAGAUUAGCUUGUUGGUGGGGUAAAGGCCUACCAAGGCAACGAUCUGUAGCUGGUCUGAGAGGAUGAUCAGCCACACUGGGACUGAGACACGGCCCAGACUCCUACGGGAGGCAGCAGUGGGGAAUAUUGCACAAUGGGCGAAAGCCUGAUGCAGCAAUGUCGCGUGUGUGAAGAAGGCCUUAGGGUUGUAAAGCACUUUCAGCGGGGAAGAAAAGUUUGUGACUAAUAAUCACAAGCCCUGACAUUACCCGCAGAAGAAGCACUGGCUAACUCUGUGCCAGCAGCCGCGGUAAUACAGAGAGUGCGAGCGUUAAUCGGAAUUACUGGGCGUAAAGCGCGUGUAGGUUGAUAUUUAAGUCGGAUGUGAAAGCCCCAAGCUCAACUUGGGAACUGCAUCCGAUACUGGGUAUCUAGAGUAUGGUAGAGGGAAGUGGAAUUUCCGGUGUAGCGGUGAAAUGCGUAGAUAUCGGAAGGAACAUCAGUGGCGAAGGCGACUUCCUGGACCAAUACUGACACUGAGACGCGAAAGCGUGGGGAGCAAACAG